GAAUGUAGCUCAGUGGCAGAGUACUUGCCUAGCAUGUGCAAGACCCUGGGUUCAAUACCCAGUACCA
rnacentral:tRNA from 1 species